CUAUUUGAGAGUUCGAUCCUGGCUCAGGAUGAACGCUGGCGGCGUGGAUAAGGCAUGCAAGUCAUACGAGUCAGUGCUUCGCACUGACCCACGGAUUUACACGGAUACAGGGUUGCCUUCGGCAACCACACGGAUUUACACGGAUAAUUUUUAUCAGUGUUUAUCCGUUUCUUAUCUGUGUUCAUCAGUGUGCCAAUGCGAAGUAUUGGCUAGUGGCGAACGGGUUAGUAACACGUAGAUACCUGCCCCCGACACACGCAUAACUAGCCGAAAGGUUAGCUAAUUCGUGAUGGUCCCGCAAGGGUAAAGGCGUAGAGCAAUCUAUGCCGGUUGGGGAUGGGUCUGCGGCCUAUCAGCUAGUUGGUGAGGUAAUGGCCCACCAAGGCAAUGACGGGUAGGCGGUGUGAGAGCACGACCGCCAACACUGGCACUGAGAUACGGGCCAGACUCCUACGGGAGGCAGCAGUCGAGAAUAUUGGUCAAUGGGGGAAACCCUGAACCAGCGACGCCGCGUGCUCGAAGAAGCCCUUCGGGGUGUAAAGAGCUUUUCUCCGUGACGAAUCUUCGGAUGACAGUAGCGGAGGAAUAAGGGGGUGCAAAUUCUGUGCCAGCAGCCGCGGUAAUACAGAACCCCCAAGCGUUAUCCGGAUUUAUUGGGCGUAAAGGGUCCGUAGGCGGUCAGGAAAGUCUGGGGUUAAAUACCUUGGGCUCAACCUAAGGGGUGCGUCAGAAACUACCUGACUU
rfam:Parcubacteria group bacterium CG1_02_39_15 cg1_0.2_scaffold_4809_c, whole genome shotgun sequence.